ACCGGUUGUGGCGCCAGCUGCACCGCCGGGUAUCCACGUUCGGUCAGGAUAAGCGCUGAAAGCAUCUAAGCGCGAAGCCGUCUCCAAGAUGAGACUUCCCUAAGGGUCGUGGGAGACUACCACGUUGAUAGGCAGGAGAUGUAAGCACAGCAAUGUGUUCAGUCGACCUGUACUAAUAGCCCGAGAUCUUUUGAGUA
rnacentral:rRNA from 1 species